rnacentral:rRNA from 1 species
UUGGUUGGGUAAUGGCCUACCAAGACGAUGAUGUGUAGCUGGACUGAGAGGUUGAACAGCCACAUUGGGACUGAGACACGGCCCAAACUCCUACGGGAGGCAGCAGUAGGGAAUUUUCGGCAAUGGAGGAAACUCUGACCGAGCAACGCCGCGUGAAUGACGAAGUACUUCGGUAUGUAAAGUUCUUUUAUCAAGGAAGAAAAGCAAAUGGCGAACCAUUUGUUUGCCGGUACUUGAUGAAUAAGCCCCGGCUAAUUAUGUGCCAGCAGCCGCGGUAAGACAUAAGGGGCAAGUGUUAUCCGGAAUUAUUGGGCGUAAAGGGUGCGUAGGCGGUCUAGUAAGUCAGUGGUGUAAUGGCAACGCUUAACGUUGUCCGGCUAUUGAAACUGCUAAACUUGAGUUAGAUAGAGGCGAGUGGAAUUCCAUGUGUAGCGGUAAAAUGCGUAAAUAUAUGGAGGAACACCACAGGCGUAGGCGGCUCGCUGGGUCUUAACUGACGCUGAGGCACCAAAGCGUGGCGAGCCAACAGGAAUAGAUACCCUGGUAGUCC